rnacentral:rRNA from 1 species
CUUUCCCUCUUUCUUCCUGCUUUACACAUGCAAGUCGAACGGCAGCGCGGGCUUCGGCCUGGCGGCGAGUGGCGAACGGGUGAGUAAUACAUCGGAACGUGCCCAGUAGUGGGGGAUAGCUCGGCGAAAGCCGGAUUAAUACCGCAUACGACCUGAGGGUGAAAGCGGGGGAUCUUCGGACCUCGCGCUAUUGGAGCGGCCGAUGGCAGAUUAGCUAGUUGGUGGGGUAAAGGCCUACCAAGGCGACGAUCUGUAGCUGGUCUGAGAGGACGACCAGCCACACUGGGACUGAGACACGGCCCAGACUCCUACGGGAGGCAGCAGUGGGGAAUUUUGGACAAUGGGCGAAAGCCUGAUCCAGCAAUGCCGCGUGUGUGAUGAAGGCCUUCGGGUUGUAAAGCACUUUUGGCGGGAACGAAAAGGACUGUGCCAAUACCACGGUUCGAUGACGGUACCCGCAGAAUAAGCACCGGCUAACUACGUG